rnacentral:rRNA from 1 species
GACGAACGCUGGCGGCGUGCUUAACACAUGCAAGUCGAACGGUAAGGCCCUUCGGGGUACACGAGUGGCGAACGGGUGAGUAACACGUGGGUGAUCUGCCCUGCACUUCGGGAUAAGCCUGCGAAACUGGGUCUAAUACCGGAUAGGACUCCUGCCUGCAUGGGUGGGGGUGGAAAGCUUUUGUGGUGUGGGAUGGGCCCGCGGCCUAUCAGCUUGUUGGUGGGGUGAUGGCCUACCAAGGCGACGACGGGUAGCCGGCCUGAGAGGGUGACCGGCCACACUGGGACUGAGAUACGGCCCAGACUCCUACGGGAGGCAGCAGUGGGGAAUAUUGCACAAUGGGCGCAAGCCUGAUGCAGCGACGCCGCGUGAGAGAUGACGGCCUUCGGGUUGUAAACCUCUUUCAGCACCGACGAAGCGCAAGUGACGGUAGGUGCAGAAGAAGGACCGGCCAACUACGUGCCAGCAGCCGCGGUAA